GAUGAACGCUAGCGACAGGCCUAACACAUGCAAGUCGAGGGGCAGCACAAGGUAGCAAUACUGAGGUGGCGACCGGCGCACGGGUGAGUAACACGUAUGCAACCUGCCUGCAACAUUGGGAUAACCCGUUGAAAGACGGCCUAAUACCGAAUAAAACAGGGACACCGCCUGGGGAUAUUUGUUAAAGUUCCGAGCAAUCGGAGCGGUUGUAGAUGGGCAUGCGUAUGAUUAGAUAGUUGGUGAGGUAACGGCUCACCAAGUCUACGAUCAUUAGGGGUUCUGAGAGGAAGGUCCCCCACACUGGUACUGAGACACGGACCAGACUCCUUCGGGAGGCAGCAGUGAGGAAUAUUGGUCAAUGGGCGCGAGCCUGAACCAGCCAAGUCGCGUGAAGGAAGACGGUUCUAUGAAUUGUAAACUUCUUUUUUACAGGAAUAAAGUGAGGGACGUGUCCCUUUUUGUAUGUACUGUACGAAUAAGGAUCGGCUAACUCCGUGCCAGCCGCCGCUGUAAAAC
rnacentral:rRNA from 1 species